rnacentral:lncRNA from 1 species
UAGAGACUCCCGUGAACUCCGAGAUCAAACUCCGCUCGGAUGCCUUAGCGAACAGAGCCGAGAGGCAUCCAUCGCAAUGACGAAGAGGAGUGGGGAGACCUGGUCCCCCUACCUAAGUCCCUUGACGUGGUAGAUGGUGCGGCCAGGGACUGCGUUGACAAUCACCUUAGUGCUUGCUGUGGAGAGAAUAGUGGCCACCCACGAGAUCCACUUCUGACCAAAGC